rnacentral:misc_RNA from 1 species
UACGUAGGUGACGAGCGUUGUCCGGAUGUAUUGGGCGUAAAGCUAGCGCAGGCGGUCCCUUAAGUCUGAUGUGAAAGCCCACGGCUCAACGGUGGAGGGUCAUUGGAAACUGGGGGACUUGAGUGCAGAAGAGGAAAGUGGAAUUCCAUGUGUAGCGGUGAAAUGCGUAGAGAUGUGAAGGAACACCAGUGGCGAAGGCGACUUUCUGGUCUGUAACUGACGCUGAGGCGCGAAAGCGUGGGGAGCAAACAGG